GAGUUUGAUCUUGGCUCAGAACGAACGCUGGCGGUAUGCUUAACACAUGCAAGUCGAACGGACUUAUUGGAGCUUGCUCUAAUAAGUUAGUGGCAAACGGGUGAGUAACACGUGGGAAUCUACCCAUCAGUACGGAAUAACAUUUGGAAACAAAUGCUAAUACCGUAUAUUCUCUAAGGAGGAAAGAUUUAUCGCUGAUGGAUGAGCCCGCGUUAGAUUAGGUAGUUGGUAGGGUAAUGGCCUACCAAGCCGACGAUCUAUAGCUGGUCUGAGAGGAUGAUCAGCCACACUGGGACUGAGACACGGCCCAGACUCCUACGGGAGGCAGCAGUGGGGAAUAUUGGACAAUGGGCGAAAGCCUGAUCCAGCAAUACCGCGUGAGUGAUGAAGGCCUUAGGGUUGUAAAGCUCUUUUAGUAGGGAAGAUAAUGACGGUACCUACAGAAAAAG
rnacentral:rRNA from 1 species